ACUCCUACGGGAGGCAGCAGUUUCGAAUCAUUCACAAUGGGCGAAAGCCUGAUGGUGCGACGCCGCGUGGGGGAUGAAGGUCUUCGGAUUGUAAACCCCUGUCACCAGGGACAAAACGGGUUCGGUUAACAGCCGGAUCCCUGAUUUAACCUGGAGAGGAAGCAGUGGCUAACUCUGUGCCAGCAGCCGCGGUAAUACAGAGACUGCAAGCGUUAUUCGGAUUCACUGGGCGUAAAGGGUGCGCAGGCGGCUAGGUGUGUAAGGUGUGAAAGCUUCGGGCUUAACUCGAAAAUUGCGCCUUAAACUACCUGGCUAGAGUUUUGGAGGGGUAAGCGGAAUUCUCGGUGUAGCGGUGAAAUGCGUAGAUAUCGAGAGGAACACCAAAGGCGAAGGCAGCUUACUGGACAAAAACUGACGCUCAGGCACGAAAGCGUGGGGAGCAAAAGGGAUUAGAUACCCCAGUAGUCC
rnacentral:rRNA from 1 species